rnacentral:lncRNA from 1 species
AAUUUUGAAUCUUUGCCUGGGCGAAAUCAUCAUCAAACUCCGAUAGAUAAUUUAGUUGUGAUGUACAGCAGCAUGGGAAUCACAUGCAUAGACCUUGAGGAAUCUGCUUCACAGUAUGUUGCCUCUGCUUCACAGUAUGUUGCCCUUUCUGAUUUCUGAGUUUCGAGAUGUACGCUGCUUUUGGGGAAAGGAUAGUGUGUAUUAAGGAGGAGUCCGUGGGUUGUGAGACU